AUUGAACGCUGGCGGCAGGCCUAACACAUGCAAGUCGAACGAGUGGCGGACGGGUGAGUAAUGUCUGGGAAACUGCCCGAUGGAGGGGGCUAACUACUGGAAACGGUAGCUAAUACCGCAUACCAUCGGAUGUGCCCAGAUGGGAUUAGCUAGUAGGUGGGGUAACGGCUCACCUAGGCGACGAUCCCUAGCUGGUCUGAGAGGAUGACAGGCAACACUGUAAAUGAGACACGGGCCAGAUUCCUACGGGAGGAAGCAGUGGGGAAUAGUGCACAAUGGGCGCAAGCCUGAUGCAGCCAUGCGGGGUGUAUGAAGAGGGCCGUCGGGUUGUAAAGUACGUUCAGCGAGGAGGCGUGACUCGCAGAAGAAGCACCGGCUAACGCCGUGCCAGCAGACGCGGUAAUUC
rnacentral:rRNA from 1 species